CAGUCGCCGCGGGAACACGGAGGGUGCAAGCGUUAAUCGGAAUUACUGGGCGUAAAGCGCACGCAGGCGGUCUGACAAGUCAGAUGUGAAAUCCCCGGGCUUAACCUGGGAACUGCAUUUGAAACUGUCAGGCUGGAGUCUUGUAGAGGGGGGUAGAAUUCCAGGUGUAGCGGUGAAAUGCGUAGAGAUCUGGAGGAAUACCGGUGGCGAAGGCGGCCCCCUGGACAAAGACUGACGCUCAGGUGCGAAAGCGUGGGGAGCAAACAGGAUUAGAUACCCGCGUAGUCCCUGUCUCUUAUAC
rnacentral:rRNA from 1 species